UCCGGGUGCGAUGGCUAGUGCCUGUAAUCCAAGUCACUGGGAGGCUGAGGUUGGUGGAUCGAGUGAGCUGAGGACCUCAGGGAUGUAGCGCUAUGUCAAACGGGUGUCUGCACUAAAUUCGGUAUCGAUAUGGUGCUCCUGGGGGAGCCCGGGGCCACCAGGUCGUCUAAGGAGGGGUGCACCGGUCCAGGUCGAAACGAAGCAGGUCAAGCCCCCAUGCCGCCCAGCAGACCACAUCUGUAGGCCACACCCAUAGACUCCUCUACAGACCUGGGCCCGGCUUACCAUAAGAUGCUUUU
rnacentral:SRP_RNA from 1 species